AACGCACAUUGCGCCCAUUAGUAUUCUAGUGGGCAUGCCUAUUCGAGCGUCAUUUCAACCCUUAAGCCUAGUUGCUUAGUGUUGGGAAUCUGCCCUGUAUUUAUAGGGCAGUUCCUUAAAGUGAUCGGCGGAGUUAGGGCAUACUCUAAGCGUAGUAAUAUUCUUCUCGCUUCUGUAGUUGUCCUGGCGGCUUGCCGUUAAACCCCUAUAUUUCUAGUGGUUGACCUCGGAUUAGGUAGGAAUACCCGCUGAACUUAAGCAUAUCAAUAAGCGGAGGAAAAGAAACCAACAGGGAUUGCCCUAGUAACGGCGAGUGAAGCGGCAACAGCUCAAAUUUGAAAUCUGGCCCUAGCGGUCCGAGUUGUAAUUUGUAGAGGAUGCUUUUGGUUAGGUGCCUUCUGAGUUCCCUGGAACGGGACGCCAGAGAGGGUGAGAGCCCCGUACGGUUGGACACCGAGCCUCUAUAUAGCUCCUUCGACGAGUCGAGUAGUUUGGGAAUGCUGCUCUAAAUGGGAGGUAAAUUUCUUCUAAAGCUAAAUACCGGCCAGAGACCGAUAGCGCACAAGUAGAGUGAUCGAAAGAUGAAAAGUACUUUGAAAAGAGGGUUAAAUAGCACGUGAAAUUGUUGAAAGGGAAGCGUUUGCGACCAGACUUUUUCCAGGCGGAUCAUCCGGUGUUCUCACCGGUGCACUUCGCCUGGUUUAGGCCAGCAUCGGUUCUCUUAGGGGGAUAAAGGCCUGGGGAACGUAGCUCCU
rnacentral:rRNA from 1 species